GAUGAACGCUGGCGGCGUGCCUAACACAUGCAAGUCGAGCGAUUUACUUCGGUAAAGAGCGGCGGACGGGUGAGUAACGCGUGGGUAACCUGCCCUAUACACACGGAUAACAUACUGAAAGGUAUGCUAAUACGAGAUAAUAUAAGAGAUUCACAUGGAUUUCUCAUCAAAGCUGAGGCGGUAUAGGAUGGACCCGCGUCUGGUUAGCUAGUUGGUAAGGUAACGGCUUACCAAGGCGACGAUCAGUAGCCGACCUGAGAGGGUGAUCGGCCACAUUGGAACUGAGACACGGUCCAAACUCCUACGGGAGGCAGCAGUGGGGAAUAUUGCACAAUGGGCGAAAGCCUGAUGCAGCAACGCCGCGUGAGUGAUGAAGGCCUUCGGGUCGUAAAACUCUGUCCUCAAGGAAGAUAAUGACGGUACUUGAGGAGGAAGCCCCGGCUAACUACGUGCCAGCCGCCGCAGUAACAC
rnacentral:rRNA from 1 species